GGGCCUUAAGAUUAAUUAAGACAGUAAAGGCGUGUUCUGCAAAAACUUUUCAGGGACUUUCUCUCUCUUUCUGUUUGUCACAAAGUUUCUAAAAGAAGCAUGUCCAUUCAAGUUAAAGAUGAGGAUAUCAGUGAUGAAGGAGAGCUGACAGUCUUUAUACAACCACCUGGAUCUGACCUUUACAUCAAAAGAGAAAGAAGAAUUGGAAAAUGCAACUGGAAAGUCCUCCUAAUGGUAACUGACAAAGCUAG